GAGUUUGAUCCUGGCUCAGGAUGAACGCUAGCUACAGGCUUAACACAUGCAAGUCGAGGGGAAACGACAUCGAAAGCUUGCUUUUGAUGGGCGUCGACCGGCGCACGGGUGAGUAACGCGUAUCCAACCUGCCCACCACUUGGGGAUAACCUUGCGAAAGUAAGACUAAUACCCAAUGAUAUCUCUAGAAGACAUCUGAAGGAGAUUAAAGAUUUAUCGGUGAUGGAUGGGGAUGCGUCUGAUUAGCUUGUUGGCGGGGUAACGGCCCACCAAGGCGACGAUCAGUAGGGGUUCUGAGAGGAAGGUCCCCCACAUUGGAACUGAGACACGGUCCAAACUCCUACGGGAGGCAGCAGUGAGGAAUAUUGGUCAAUGGACGAGAGUCUGAACCAGCCAAGUAGCGUGCAGGAUGACGGCCCUAUGGGUUGUAAACUGCUUUUAUAAGGGAAUAAAGUGAGUCUCGUGAGACUUUUUGCAUGUACCUUAUGAAUAAGGACCGGCUAAUUCCGUGCCAGCAGCCGCGGUAAUACGGAAGGUCCGGGCGUUAUCCGGAUUUAUUGGGUUUAAAGGGAGCGUAGGCCGGAGAUUAAGCGUGUUGUGAAAUGUAGACGCUCAACGUCUGCACUGCAGCGCGAACUGGUUUCCUUGAGUACGCACAAAGUGGGCGGAAUUCGUGGUGUAGCGGUGAAAUGCUUAGAUAUCACGAAGAACUCCGAUUGCGAAGGCAGCUCACUGGAGCGCAACUGACGCUGAAGCUCGAAAGUGCGGGUAUCGAACAGGAUUAGAUACCCUGGUAGUCCGCACGGUAAACGAUGGAUGCCCGCUGUUGGUCUGAAUAGGUCAGCGGCCAAGCGAAAGCAUUAAGCAUCCCACCUGGGGAGUACGCCGGCAACGGUGAAA
rnacentral:rRNA from 1 species